rnacentral:rRNA from 1 species
AUGCAAGUCGAACGGUAACGCGGGGCAACCUGGCGACGAGUGGCGAACGGGUGAGUAAUGCAUCGGAACGUGCCCAGUAGUGGGGGAUAGCCCGGCGAAAGCCGGAUUAAUACCGCAUACGACCUACGGGUGAAAGGGGGGGAUCGCAAGACCUCUCGCUAUUGGAGCGGCCGAUGUCAGAUUAGGUAGUUGGUGGGGUAAAGGCCUACCAAGCCUGCGAUCUGUAGCUGGUCUGAGAGGACGACCAGCCACACUGGGACUGAGACACGGCCCAGACUCCUACGGGAGGCAGCAGUGGGGAAUUUUGGACAAUGGGGGCAACCCUGAUCCAGCCAUGCCGCGUGCGGGAAGAAGGCCUUCGGGUUGUAAACCGCUUUUGUCAGGGAAGAAACGCUCCGGGCUAAUACCACGGAGUAAUGACGGUACCUGAAGAAUAAGCACCGGCUAACUACGUGCCAGCAGCCGCGGUAAUACGUAGGGUGCAAGCGUUAAUCGGAAUUACUGGGCGUAAAGCGUGCGCAGGCGGUCAUGCAAGACAGAUGUGAAAUCCCCGGGCUUAACCUGGGAACUGCAUUUGUGACUGCAUGGCUUGAGUGCGGCAGAGGGGGAUGGAAUUCCGCGUGUAGCAGUGAAAUGCGUAGAUAUGCGGAGGAACGCCGAUGGCGAAGGCAAUCCCCUGGGCCUGCACUGACGCUCAUGCACGGAAGCGUG